rnacentral:rRNA from 1 species
GGGUGAGAAUCCCACAGGCCGUAAACCCAAGGUUUCCAGGGGAAGGUUCGUCCGCCCUGGGUUAGUCGGGACCUAAGCUGAGGCCGAAAGGCGUAGGGGAUGGACAACAGGUUGAUAUUCCUGUACUACCGAUAACCGUUUGAGAGAAGGGAUGACACAGGAGGAUAAGCUAAGCACACUGUUGGUUAUGUGUGCCCAAGCAUUGAGGCAGUCAAAGUAGGCAAAUCCGCUUUGAUAAUGCUGGGAUGUGAUGGGG